GAAUUUUAAAUAUAUUAAUUUAAUAUUAGUUUAAAGUAAAAUUAUUUUAUUUUUAAUUGGGAGGAUUAUUAAAUUUAAUAAACUUUAAUAUAAUUAAGACUUAGAUUUAAGAUUAAAUGAAUGAUUUUAAAAUUAAAUAAGAUUAAAUUACCUUAGGGAUAACAGCGUAAUAUUUUUAGAAAGAACUUAUUGAUAAAAAUUGUUGC
rnacentral:rRNA from 1 species